rnacentral:rRNA from 1 species
UACGUAGGGUGCGAGCGUUAAUCGGAAUUACUGGGCGUAAAGCGUGCGCAGGCGGCUUUGCAAGACAGAUGUGAAAUCCCCGGGCUCAACCUGGGAACUGCAUUUGUGACUGCAAGGCUAGAGUACGACAGAGGGGGAUGGAAUUCCGCGUGUAGCAGUGAAAUGCGUAGAUAUGCGGAGGAACACCAAUGGCGAAGGCAAUCCCCUGGGCCUGUACUGACGCUCAUGCACGAAAGCGUGGGGAGCAAACAGG